rnacentral:rRNA from 1 species
UACGUAGGGGGCAAGCGUUAUCCGGAUUUACUGGGUGUAAAGGGGGCGCAGACGGCAGCGCAAGCCAGGAGUGAAAGCCCGGGGCCCAACCCCGGGACUGCUCUUGGAACUGCGCGGCUGGAGUGCAGGAGGGGCAGGCGGAAUUCCUGGUGUAGCGGUGAAAUGCGUAGAUAUCAGGAGGAACACCGGUGGCGAAGGCGGCCUGCUGGACUGCGACUGACGUUGAGGCGCGAAAGCGUGGGGAGCAAACAGG